rnacentral:rRNA from 1 species
AGUGAACGCUGGCGGCAUGCCUAACACAUGCAAGUCGAACGGCAGGACCGUGAGAUUUUGCGCUUACCGGUUGGGAGUGGCGGGCGUGUGAGGAGUACAUCGGGAUCUUCUUUUUCGGGGAAGAUAAGGUAACGAGGCUUACGCUAAUAACGCAUACGACGUACCGUGGAGUGCAGUGGAUCGUUGCACCUUUUGCGGCUGAAUUAGCCGCUGGCGGGUUAGCUAGUUGGGUGGUUAAAUGCCUACCAGGGCGACGAUCCGUGGCCUGUCUGAGAGGCUGAUCGGCCACACUGGAACUGAGACACGGUCAAGACGACUACGGGAGGCAGCAGUGGGGAAUAUUGGACAAUGGGCGCAAGCAUGAUCCAGCAAGACCGCGUGGGUGACGAAGGCCUCCGGUGUGUAAAGCCCUUUUGUUGGGAAAGAACAGCAGUAGCUUAAUACCCCGCUGUUCUGACGGUACCCAAAGAAUAAGCACCGGCUAACUACGUG